AUGGCCAUGUUACUUUGAAACACGGAUUCUUAUAUGAUCAUCAAAGUUAAGCAAUGUAGAGGUUGAUCAGUACCUAGAUGAGUGACCGCUUGGGAAUACUGGGUGCUGUAAG